UACGGGGGGGGCAAGCGUUGCUCGGAAUCACUGGGCGUAAAGCGCACGUAGGCGGACUCUUAAGUCGGUGGUGAAAUCCUGGAGCUCAACUCCAGAACUGCCUUCGAUACUGGGAGUCUCGAGUCCGGGAGAGGUGAGUGGAACUGCGAGUGUAGAGGUGAAAUUCGUAGAUAUUCGCAAGAACACCAGUGGCGAAGGCGGCUCACUGGCCCGGUACUGACGCUGAGGUGCGAAAGCGUGGGGAGCAAACAGG
rnacentral:rRNA from 1 species